rnacentral:rRNA from 1 species
CAGUUUGUUUGAUAUCUACUGGGAACGUGAGAUGUCUGAAGGGAAGGAUCUUCUAGUACGAGAGGAACGAAGGUUCGUGGCCUCUGGUCUAACAAUUAUCUGAUAAGGUACGUUGUGCAGCUACGCCAUAGCGGAUAAGUACUGAAAGCAUCUAAGUACGAAGCCGCCCCUGAAAAGAGAUAUCAUAGA